AUGCAUGCCGCCAUCUUCCCCGCUGAAAAGCGAAGAUGCAUGUCUCCUUCCCAGCUGCCUCCGGCAACCCGGUGCACCACACCGCGCGACGCGUGCUCCGGCGCAUAUUCCUCGCCAGCCUGGGAGUCGCUGCAUGCAGAUUUGGUUUGCCUGGUCGCGUCGGGCUUGUUGACCAGAGGAGAUCUACUGGACUAUGUCCGCUUCCGUGCCGUCUGCGCGCACUGGCGAUCGGCCACGCUCUCUCCACGCGGCCGCGGGGUUGUUGAUUCGUGCUUCCAUCCACGCCGCUGGAUGAUGUUCCCAGAGGACCGUGGCCUUUACCCUGGACAUCCGGAGCUGGGUGACUACAUCCGCUUCUUUAACCUAGACUCAGGAGCCUUUGUCCGCGUCUGUCUGCCAUUGUUCAGGAACCACUCUUCUACACCCUUUCAUCCGUGA
rnacentral:rRNA from 1 species